UGCAAGUCGAACGAAGUUACACAGAGGAAGUUUUCGGAUGGAAUCAGUAUAACUUAGUGGCGGACGGGUGAGUAACGCGUGGGAAACCUGCCCUGUACCGGGGGAUAACACUUAGAAAUAGGUGCUAAUACCGCAUAAGCGCACGGAACUGCAUGGUUCUGUGUGAAAAACUCCGGUGGUACAGGAUGGUCCCGCGUCUGAUUAGCCAGUUGGCAGGGUAACGGCCUACCAAAGCGACGAUCAGUAGCCGGCCUGAGAGGGUGAACGGCCACAUUGGGACUGAGACACGGCCCAAACUCCUACGGGAGGCAGCAGUGGGGAAUAUUGCACAAUGGGGGAAACCCUGAUGCAGCGACGCCGCGUGAGUGAAGAAGUAUUUCGGUAUGUAAAGCUCUAUCAGCAGGGAAGAAAAUGACGGUACCUGACUAAGAAGCCCCGGCUAACUACGUGCCAGCAGCCGCGGUAAUACGUAGGGGGCAAGCGUUAUCCGGAUUUACUGGGUGUAAAGGGAGCGUAGACGGCAUGGCAAGCCAGAUGUGAAAACCCAGGGCUCAACCUUGGGAUUGCAUUUGGAACUGCCAGGCUGGAGUGCAGGAGAGGUAAGCGGAAUUCCUAGUGUAGCGGUGAAAUGCGUAGAUAUUAGGAGGAACACCAGUGGCGAAGGCGGCUUACUGGACUGUAACUGACGUUGAGGCUCGAAAGCGU
rnacentral:rRNA from 1 species